CACUUUAGUGGGACGAAAAGACUACGGAUUAAUACUCUGUGGUCUUGAUUUAACCCAAAGAAAAAGCACCGGCUAACUCUGUGC
rnacentral:rRNA from 1 species